rnacentral:rRNA from 1 species
AAUGAACGUUGGCGGCGUGGAUUAGGCAUGCAAGUCGAGCGAGAACCCGCAAGGGGGACAGCGGCAAACGGGGUAGUAAUGCGUCGGAACGUGCCCUCUGGACGGGGAUAGCGGCGGGAAACUGCCGGUAAUACCCGAUGAACUCGAGAGGGCAAAGGUGUGAUUCCGCCGGAGGAGCGGCCGACAUGGUAUUAGCUAGUUGGCGGGGUAACGGCCCACCAAGGCUGUGAUGCCUAGGGGAUGUGAGAGCAUGAUCCCCACCAUUGGGACUGAGACACUGCCCAGACGCCUACGGGUGGCUGCAGUCGAGAAUCUUCGUCAAUGGGCGAAAGCCUGAACGAGCGACGCCGCGUGCGGGAUGAAGGCCCUUGGGUUGUAAACCGCUGUCGAGGGGGAUGAAGGCAUUCAGGUACUCCUGAAUGUUUGACAGAGCCCUGGAGGAAGCACGGGCUAAGUUCGUGCCAGCCGCCGCGGUAAGAC